rnacentral:lncRNA from 1 species
AUGUUCUUGCUCCGGCAAGGUGUAUUGACCCUCGGGGUUCCUUUUGGGAAUAUAUUCAGGUGGGGAUUCCCCCCCCCCCCCCCCCGUUGAUCUCUAAAAAAAAAGCACAAAAAAAGGAUCUCGCCACCAGAACUAGAUGCAGAGCUGCCGUCGGAGUGUGGUUCUUGUUGAUGAAGGGGACGCACGGCGGAUGGCGGAGGUGGAGAGGAUUGCCGUCUCACGGCGGCGCUGAAGAGGGUACGAUGUCCGCAUCUGGACAACCCAGACUAGUCGAGGAUGCAUCCGAAUCGGAGCACUGCUUCGCAGGUAGGGACUAGGGAUGUCAAAGGCGCCCUAAACGGCGCCGCCAAGCCCAGUUCUAUCCUUCCCUCAGAGGU